rnacentral:rRNA from 1 species
CAACAGGGAUUGCCCUAGUAACGGCGAGUGAAGCGGCAAGAGCUCAAAUUUGAAAUCUGGCUCCUUUGGAGUCCGAGUUGUAAUUUGUAGAGGGUGCUUUGGUGUCGGCCAUGGCCUAAGUUCCUUGGAACAGGACGUCACAGAGGGUGAGAACCCCGUACGUGGCUGCUGGCCUUCACCAUGUAAAGCCCCUUCGACGAGUCGAGUUGUUUGGGAAUGCAGCUCUAAAUGGGAGGUAAAUUUCUUCUAAAGCUAAAUAUUGGCCAGAGACCGAUAGCGCACAAGUAGAGUGAUCGAAAGAUGAAAAGCACUUUGGAAAGAGAGUCAAAAAGCACGUGAAAUUGUUGAAAGGGAAGCGCUUGCAGCCAGACUUGCUCGUAGUUGCUCAUCCGAGCUUUUGCUCGGUGCACUCUUCUGCGGGCAGGCCAGCAUCAGUCCGGGCGGUUGGAUAAAGGCUCUGGGAAUGUAGCUCUCUUCGGGGAGUGUUAUAGCCCAGGGUGUCAUGCGACCAGCCUGGACUGAGGUCCGCGCAUCUGCUAGGAUGCUGGCGUAAUGGCUGUAAGCGGCCCGUCUUGAAACACGGACCAAGGAGUCUAACAUCUAUGCGAGUGUUUGGGUGUCAAGCCCGGGCGCGUAAUGAAAGUGAACGGAGGUGGGAACCCUUCGGGGCGCACCAUCGACCGAUCCUGAUGUCUUCGGAUGGAUUUGAGUAAGAGCAUAGCUGUUGGGACCCGAAAGAUGGUGAACUAUGCCUGAAUAGGGUGAAGCCAGAGGAAACUCUGGUGGAGGCUCGCAGCGGUUCUGACGUGCAAAUCGAUCGUCAAA